UUACUGUCACUUUUUUUAUUCAAAAUCAUUUUUUAUUAUUAAUAAACAUUAGAAGAUUCCUGUUUUGUCUUUCCCUUUUCAUAAGAUACGUUAUUUAUAGUACAAACCCCAUUCCAAAACAUGAGCCUUGUGCAAUGUACCUGUGAUAAUGCAAUUAUUUUCUGCUACUGUGCAAAGAAAGCCUUGUCCAGCACAUGGCAAAAUAACACAAUCUGUAUGGUUUGAGGCAUUUAGCUGCAUUUCACAGGCAACUACCAUUUCCCGUACUACAAGAGUAUAAAGUACUUAACAGAAGGAUUCCGGCUUCAAGUUUAUCACACUCCCAUUCUAAAGAGGAGUAUUCAUAAUUCCAGUAGUUCUACUGUUUUUUGUUUUUGUAACCUCUUCCCUGCCAAAAAGAAACAAACUACACAGCUUCUAGCGAGACCUGCUCUGCACAGCCGUGUGGAACCAAAGAGCAGGUAGCAGGUUAACGAGGAAAUAAAAUUAAAAUUUAUUUUUGUCUCUGCUUCUAAAGCAUGUUCUAUAGCACCAAUAUAUGCAUUAGAAAGGACAGAAAUGAGGAUCAUCAUUUUCACAAAUUAUCUGAAAGUAAUUUAGUACAUUUCUCAGGUAGACAGGGAUGUUUUUGAAGUCCUGUCUGGAUGUGAAUUGGUGACCAAUAUGAGGAAAGAUAUCUUCCAGGUUCUGUCAACUAACUUGUAUUCAAGAAACCUAGAAUUAAAUGUAACUUUUUUCUUCUUCACGGUUUGUGUUGGUAUUUCUGUGGCAAUACAUAAAAUAAUAAAACAACGAUCCACGUUCCAAAGCUGUUCUAUGCAUAUGUCUAACCAAAAGGUCAAUCCCAAAACUGCAUUUACACUUUCUCCAUAAAGUUCCAAACAAUAUUUGCAUCCGGUAAGCAAUAUAAAGAAGGUUAGAAAAAUGCAUUCAGGGUGUUAAUACAGAUGAACUGUUGCUGUGUGUUGCCCACUCGGGGAAUCUGUUCAGAUCAAACAUUGGUAUUCCCCACGUGUAAAGUCCAAACCAUAAGGUUAUCAUGCUUAUUAGGUUAGUUCCCAGUCCUGCUUUUACC